rnacentral:misc_RNA from 1 species
AUACCACCUAUAAUCCUCAUACGACAUUGGGACAUCCUAGUGUCUUAUGUCCUUAAUGGAACCAAUUAUACCACUUGUCAUAGAGCUAUGAUAAAUGCUCUUGAAGCCAAAAAUAAAUUUGGCUUUGUAAAUGUUACAUUGAUAAAGCCAGAUGAAUCUUCACUAGAUUUUGAAGUUUGGGAGAAGGUCAAUUCCAUGAUGCCCACAUGGAUACUUAACUCCCUCACUUCAGAUCUUCCUGACAGCAUGGCUUAUUUUUAAGUACCUCGUGAUAUGUUGUUGGAUUUGUAGGAGAGAUUUUCUCAAGGCAACGACCCCAGGAUCCAAGAGCUCAAAUGCGACCUCGCCAACUUAAGUCAGGAUGAUAUAAUUGUUGCAAAAUAUAAAACGAAGUUUAAGGGAAUAUGGGAUGAAGUUUGUCUUUAUUCCCCAAUCCUAAACUGCACCUGUGGUGCAGCAAAAGACUUUGCCUGCCAAAGAGAUGAAGAAAAACUCCACCAAUCCCCUUUAGGACUCAGUGAUUCAUUUAGAACCAUUCAUUCACAAUCUUGGGCUCAAAACUUUUGCCUUCUCUUGGAAAAGCUUCUUCCAUGGUCUCAAAGGAAGAGAAACAGUUGAUUUAUACCUCAAGCCGUCCAACAAUUCAACAAGGAGUAGCCAUACAUGCAAGGGGCUCAUCAAAGUCCUUUGGUUCCAACUCACAUCAUCCGCGACCUCAUGUUACGACACUGAGAGUUGAGAAGAAAUCAAAUGGAGACAUACACCAAUCUCCAAAACGUGAGUUCAACUUCAAUAAAGCCCAACCUACAUUGUCAAACAAGAAUCAAU